rnacentral:tRNA from 2 species
GCUCCCGUGGUGAAACGGAUAUCACGCGACGCUUCGGACGUCGUAUUCUAGGUUCGAAUCCUGGCGGGAGCACCA